rnacentral:rRNA from 1 species
CCCUUAGACGUUCUGGGCCGCACGCGCGCUACACUGACCAGUGCAACAAGCAUCCGUCCUUGGCCGACAGGCCCGGGCAAUCUUUGAACGCUGGUCGUGAUGGGGAUAGACUUUUGCAAUUUUUGGUCUUCAACGAGGAAUUCCUAGUAAACGCAAGUCAUCAACUUGCAUUGAUUACGUCCCUGCCCUUUGUACACACCGCCCGCCGCACCUACCGAUUGAAUGGUCCGGUGAAGCCUCCGGAUUGGCGCGCACCUCGGUGCCGCCGAGAAGUUGGCUAAACCUUACCAUUUAGAGGAAGGUGAAGUCGUANCA